rnacentral:rRNA from 1 species
UACGUAGGGGGCAAGCGUUGUCCGGAAUUAUUGGGCGUAAAGAGCGCGUAGGCGGUCCGGUAAGUCGGUUGUGAAAGUCGGGGGCUCAACCCUCGGAUGCCGAUCGAUACUGCCGGGCUAGAGUCCGGAAGAGGCGAGUGGAAUUCCUGGUGUAGCGGUGGAAUGCGCAGAUAUCAGGAGGAACACCAAUAGCGAAGGCAGCUCCGCUGGGACGGUACUGACGCUAAGGCGCGAAAGCGUGGGGAGCGAACAGG